UACGUAGGGUGCUAGCGUUGUUCGGAAUCAUUGGGCGUAAAGCGCGUGUGGGCGGUUAGUUAAGUCGGGUGUGAAAUCCCUGGGCUCAACCGAGGAAGUGCAUCCGAAACUAACUAGCUAGAGAAUGGUAGAGGAAGGUGGAAUUCCGUGUGUAGAGGUGAAAUUCGUAGAUAUACGGAGGAAUACCGGUGGCGAAGGCGGCCUCUGGACCAUUUCUGACGCUGAGACGCGAAAGCGUGGGGAGCAAACAGG
rnacentral:rRNA from 1 species